rnacentral:rRNA from 1 species
AUUGAACGCUGGCGGCAGGCCUAACACAUGCAAGUCGAACGAGUGGCGGACGGGUGAGUAAUGUCUGGGAAACUGCCUGAUGGAGGGGGAUAACUACUGGAAAAGGUAGCUAAUACCGCAUACCAUCGGAUGUGCCCAGAUGGGAUUAGCGAGGCGGUGGGGUAACGGCUCCACUAGGCGACGAUCCCUAGCUGGUCUGAGAGGAUGACCAGCCACACUGGAACUGAGACACGGUCCAGACUCCUACGGGAGGCAGCAGUGGGGAAUAUGGCACAAUGGGCGAAAUCCUGAGGCAGCCAUGCCGCGUGUAUGAAGAAGGCCUUCGGGUUGUAAAGUACUUUCAGCGGGGAGGCGUUACCCGCAGAAGAAGCACCGGCUAACUCCGUGCCAGCAGCCGCGGUAAUUC